rnacentral:lncRNA from 1 species
UUGUACUGGUAUACUGCUAAGCAACUAUUUUACACAUGUAUAAAAUGACUGAAGUUACUAUACGGAAAUAUAAUCAUGAUGAAAUCUAGAAAAAAAAUACAACACUAAUAUAAUUUUACAUUCUGAUGAAACUAAAGAGCAGAACUGAAAUUACAUGAUUGACUAUGACUAACAUCUGUGAAGCCUAUACUAUAAUGACUAUAGAUGGCUAGGAUGCGACUAAAACUACCACUAAUUAAUACAUAUGAGUAAGAAAGUAAAGUACAUAAAUAACGUCUAACUAAAGUCCCCGAACUAGGAGGACUCAUCAUCUGCUGGCUGGAAUCUGCAACUGUCUAAUCGUGAUAUAUGGACUACAACUGAACUGGUACCUACAUUAUUAGACAAUGUAGCACAUAGAACUAUAUGUGGAUCAUUACUUUUGAAAUAUACUGAGCAUAUGAGGGUGAAUGCAUAAGUAAGAUAAUAUAUCAAUGUUCGUAUAAACUUGUAAAAUAAUGCAUGCUAAGUAUAAAUGACUCAUAUUGGCUAGAAUAACUGAAAGAUGAAAAUCAUGAAUCAUGAAUGAUAAAACAUACUGUAUAAAUCUUGUGAGUCAUAACACUUAGUUCUAAAAGCUGUAUUUUUACUCUUUCUGCUAGUGGACUAAGUAGAAUUGAAGUUAAGUCUAUUUUCAAAUCAUACAGGCUAAGUGAAAAUGGACACACCUUUGUAUCUAUAAACUAAAAGCUGAAAUCUCAUAGCUAAUAACUUAUGUAAAACAAUAUUUGCAUAAAAUUGUAAGCCUUUACACUUAGGGGCCAUUUGGUGUGAGGUACUAAGACAAGUUAUCCCGGAAUAAAAUAAUAGUCCCGGGAUAAACUUUUUAAUACACCGUUUGGUUUGGCAAUAGUUGGGAUAACAUCCCGGGAUUAAUAAUAGUCCCUGGAUAAGUUAUACCACAUAUUUGGUGGUAUAAGUUAUCCCACCUUAAUUUAUCCCGGGAUAAAUUAUAAAAUGACAAAAAUAUCCUAAAUCCAUUACAAACACAUUUCUCCAAUCUUUUUCAUUAUCUUUAAUCAUUGCUUUUGAAAUUGAAAAAAAAUUAUUGAUAUCUACUUGAUUAUCUAAAACGUGUUAUUUAUGACAAAUUAAAAAGACUAAAAUAUCUUAUUUUGGAACGAAGGAAAUAUAUGACUAAGAAAAAUUAGCCUCUUAUUAAUUAAACUUUACAUUUUUUUUCAUUUCAUUGCUUGUGAAUUUUAUAAACUUAUACACUAUUUUCUUAUAUACAACAACAACAAACCCAGUGUAUUCCCACAUAGUGGGGUCUGGGGAGGGUAAGAUGUACGCAGUCCAUACUACUACCUCCGAUGAGGUAGAGAGGCUGUUUUCGAUAGAUCCCCAGCUCACGACACGCGAUACUAAUUAAAUCUGAAAUAAAGCAUGGGAAAGAUGAAAAUACAUAACUAAUCCACCCACAAAGUAUAAUUAACAAAUAAUAGUAAACAAAUACGUAAUAAGGCAUGAAACAAUGUGGCAUAACAAGAAAAGUUCACCCAUCCAGUAUUGCCCUACCUCAAUGACCCAAACUAUCACUAACCUUCUAUCCUGAUUUGCGUCCUCCAGAUCUUCCUAUAUAGGGUCAUGUCCUCAGUGAGUUGCAACUUCUCCAUGUCCUACCUAAUGACCUCUUUCCAGUAUUUCUUCGGUCUACCCCUACCCCACUUAAAUCCAUCCAAUGCUAGACGCUCACUACUAUGAAGCGGGGUAUCCGUUCCCCUCCUUAUCACGUGCCCGAACCAUCUCAAUCGAACUUCCCAGAUCUUGUCCUCCACUGAAGCCCCUUCAAUUUUUUCCUGAAUGGUCUCAUUCCGAACUCUAUCAGCCCUAGUAAUCCCACACAUCCAAUGCAACAUCCUCAUUUUUGUCACCUUCAAUUUUUGGAUGUGAGAGUUUUUGACUGGCCAAUACUCCGCUCCAUACAACAUGGUCAGACGAAAUACCACCCUAUAGAAUUUGCCUUUAAGCUUGGGCGGCACCUUCCUAUCACAUAACACCCAUGAGGUGAGCUUCCACUUCAUCCAUCCCGCCCUAAUAUGGUAGGAGACAUCCUCGUCAAUCUUACCAUUUCCCUGAAUCAUGGACCUAAGAUACUUAAAACUACCCCUCUUGCAAACUGCAUGGGAAUCCAACCUUACUACCAAGUCGUCCUCCUGCCUGAACUCAUUAAACUUGCAUUCCAAAUACUCUAUCUUGGUCCUACUCAACCUGAACCCUUUAGACUCAAGGGUCUGUCGCCACACCUCUAGUUUAUCAUUCACACACCCUCGCGUCUCAUCAAUCAAAACUACAUCGUCUGUAAAAAGCAUAGACCAAGGUACCUCUCCUUGAAUACGCCGCAUCAACACAUCCAACACCAAAGCAAACAAAAUCGGGCUAAGAGUAGAUCCCUGAUGUAGCCCUGUCAAGACAGGGAAAUGCUCUGAAUCUCCUCCCGCUGUCCUAAAUUGUGUCUUAGCUCCAUCAUACAUAUCCUUGAUUGCUCUGAUAUACACCAUCAGGACCCCACUCACCUCCAAGCAUCUCCGAAGAACCUUUCUAGGGACUUUUUCGUACGCCUUCUCCAAGUCGAUAAACACCAUGCAGGUCUUUCUUCAUUUCUCUAUACUGUUCUACCAAUCUUCGCACCAGAUGAAUUUCCUCUAUCGUCGAGCGCUCAGGCAUAAAUCCUAACUGGUUCUCUGAGAUAGUCACUAACCUCCUUAACCUCAACUCAACCACUCUCUCCUAAAUCUUCAUAGUGUGGCUCAAUAAUUUUAUCCCUCUAUAGUUGUUGCAACUCUAAAUGUCGCCCUUGUUCUUAUAUAACGGGAUCAUAGUACUCUAUCUCCAAGCCUCGGGUAUUUUUUUUGACUUGAAAAUGCCGUUAAUCAAAAUAGUCAACCAUCGCAAGCCGGUCUCGCCAGAAAACUUCCAAAAAUCCACUAGAAUCUCAUCAGGCCCCGUCGCCCUACCCCUACAUAUCCUGCAAACCGCCUCUUUGACCUCCUCUACCUUAAAGCGUCUACAAUACCUAAAAUCACAACACUCCUGAGAGUGCUCCAGAUUCCCUAACAUAAUAGCUCUAUCCCCUUCGUCAUUCAAUAACCUAUUAAAGUACAACUACCAUCUCAUCUUAAUGAGCCCGUCCUCCUCCAACACUCCACCAUUCUCCCCCUUAAUGCACUUCACCUGGUCGAGGUCACGACCCUUUCUCUCCCUAGCCUUAGCAAGCCUAAACAACUCGCCUCCUCAAAAUGCAAAAUUAACAAAUUAAAAAAUAAAAUAUGUUAGAUUCAAACAUAAUAAGGAUCAAAACUAGGUACUAUAAAUUUUUAUAUAUCCAACAAAAUGUACGUACUAUAAUUUUUUAAGCAUAGAAAAAUGGAAUUCAACAUCAACUUUUUCCUUCUAAAUUUUAUUUUUGUGAAUUGAUAACACAAAAAGUUCUUACUACACAAUGAAAAGAAUAACUAAAGUAAGUAGAUUUUAUAAUAAUAAUUAUCAUUCACUAGUAAUCUAUAAAAUAUUUUAACAACUACAAAGGCGUUGCCUAGUUUUAAUACACAUUAUCAUUUCACAAUCAACUCUAUUGUUCAAUUACAUAUUUUAAAUUAAAUAGUUCUUUAAUAACUUGAAAAUUGAUAUUGUAUAUAUCAAUUAAAAUGAAUUUUAAUAUUCUAUAUUAUAUGAGUAAUAUGUGUUUAAAUGAAGUGACAUAAACAACAAAUCUUCUUUUACUUUAACAAACUUAAGUUGGAAGUUUUUAAUUCAAACUAAAUAAGAUGUAGUAAGUUUUUUUUUUAAACGCACACGGUAUAAUCAUGGGAAGGCACAUGCAAAAAAAUUAAAGCUAAAUAAGAUGAAAGUUUUAUUUUUAAAAUACACAGAUAUAAACAUGAAAAUGCACACAUAAAAAAAUUAAGCUAAAUAGGAUGGAAGUUUUAUUUUUAAGAAUAAAUUUUUAAAGCUUGAAAACAAAUAUAUAUAAACAAAAAAGAAGUUAAAUAAGAUAGGGGUAUUUUGGUAAUCAAAUACUUUAUUCUUAGAAAUUAUACCAUGCAUAUUAAUUUGAAAACAACAAACCAUACAGUCAAUAAAAAAUAAUCCCAGCAUAACUAAUCCCAGUAUAACUUAUCCCAGCAUAACUAAUCCCAGCAUAACUACAUUCCCAACCAAACGACACCUUAGUUUCUAAAAGUUGUUCUGUUAUUCUGUUUUAGGACUUAGGCUUUAGGGAGAUUCUUUUAACCGAUAUACACUACGUGAGCUAUCAUAGUAUCCAACGUCUAGUUCUCCUAAGGGGAAAACCUCACGUUGGGGAGAGGUGUCAUACUCUUGUUAAGGAGUAUAACUUGAGCUAAGUGAUCACAAUUUUUACCGUAUCCAUAUACAAAUAGAAUAUAAUCAGAAUUUGUACUUAUGUUGGCUCGUAGUUCUAGGGAAUUAGGAUGCUCUAAACCCACACUUCUCUCUCGGUACUAAAUACUACUCCCUUUAAUUUGUAUGCUUAAUCUGUAGAAAAUUCACUUUAAGACUAGCAUGAGGGUUUAAUAUGAAAACUAGUUAUGAAUCUGUUUACUUUAAACUGUAAUCAAAACUAUAACAUGGAUUCCAUAUCUAAACUGAGGAUCAAAAGAUCAAAUCUUGUUCAAAAUCUGAGUAUAAACUAAUCAUAUGAUUCCUAAAAGCAUAAUCUUUUUAAAAUAUCAAUAUUAAAACUUGAGCUUAAUAACCCAUGCUUUAAACUCAUGUCAAAUCCAAAUAAUACUUCAUGCUCAAUAAUCUUCUUGAAAUACUUUAAUAAUUUCAGUCAAGAUAAUAAAUCAUAAUUAAAAUAUGAAUCUUAUGGAUCAAAACAUGAGCAUGCAAAAUCUUGAUGCACUAAAGCCUUUGAAUCUCAUGCUUUCUUUCAUAUAACUUGCAACAUAGUAUCAUGCUUAAAUGUUAAUUGAAAAUCUUUAAAUCAUUCAUAAAUAGAGGAGAACAAGCAUUCACUUUAACACUUAAAUCACUUUACAAAUCCAUAAACUCAAAACAAGAUAAGUUGGGUAUGUACCCUAAUUGAAAUAUAUGUAAAUUCAACUUUAAAACUAGUUUUAGGCACAAGGAUGAAAGUGUAUUCUUGAAGUUUAUUCUUGAGCUUUUUGAACCCGAAAGAUUUUAUUAUUAACUUUCUUGGAGAAAAUUUGGUAGAGUUCUUGGUGUUCUUGAAGGGGCUAGGGUUUUCUUAGAGAGAAAGAGAUGAAUUAUGAUGUAUCUAAUACUUUUGGGGUUGAAAUUAAGUGUUAUGAAUGAAUUUGGAUGAGGGAAAGUGAACAAAGUACCCCUAGACCCUUUAGGAACUUAAAUAGCAUGUGAACCAGUUCCGUAAUACAAUUGCCAUCAAGUUGUGCCACUAAUCAUAUUGAUGACCGACGCGUCGCAUCCCAAUCAUGUUGCUUGCUACCUUACACAGAAAAUGCCAUAACUUUUCGCUUGGGUUUUAUAUUAAGGCAAAAUUGGUAUCGUUGCAAAGAUAAUUCAAUUAUCUACAAUUUGGUGGGUCUUGAGCUACAAAAUUCUGCAUAUAUAAAAGUUAUACAUGUUAAAGUAAACCCUUGUAUAAUUGAAUACCAAACUUUGGACGAAUCAAAGGCUCUAAGCUCAACUUUGUUCUAAGUAAUUCUUAUGAAUAUUUUCACCUCGAAAGCACAUCAAACACAAGGAUAAAUAUCAUGAAAUUUAUACUCACAUGGUAAUAAUUUGGAUUUUAUCUUAUACAUGUAGGAACAAUGGUUCAAAGACUAGCCUGAAAAUGUGGGGUAUUAUAAGUGGUUGAUUUUAUUUAGAGAUUAUUAUCUAAUUAUUACUAUUUUGUCUUAUUAAAUGGAUAGUUUGUGGGUUUUUUUCACUCUACUAGAGGUGUCAAUCAAGGGUACCCUCUUUCACCUACAUUAUUUAUUUUAUCAGUAGAGGCGUUGACUAGAGCUCUUUACUAGUUUUCAAAGACUAGUCUUUUAUUGGUUUUUGUAUACCCAAAUGAAGUCCUGAAUUGAAUCAUCUUGCAUAUGCUAAUGAUAAAAUAAUUUUCACUUCUUCUAACGAAUACCCUAUUAAGAAGAUUAUGCAUAUUUUGAAUGAAUAUUAGUUAGAAUCUGGUCAAAUUAUUAACAGGGAAAAGAGAUUUUGUUAUAUGCAUUAUAAUUCUUUGACAAGUGUUGUGAUGUAUGUUGAGCAGGACAGUGGAAUGAGCAGAGAAAGUUUUCCUUUAAAAUAUCUUAGUUGUCCACUAUCUUAUUCCAAGAGGAAGAAGGGACAUUAUUCUAAACUGAUUGAUAAAGUUCAAAAUAAGCUAAAAAAAUAGAAGGGUAGAUUGUCAUCUUUUGGUGGAAAGGAAUUUCUUAUUAAAAGUAUUUUGCAGAGUAUUCCUAUUUAUACUUCUUUAUUAUUACAUACCAUAUACUGUGCUUGUGUUUUCUAUUUCCUGCUGUUGCUUGAUUACCAUCGUUUUGUGUUUUUUUGGGAGUUGUGGCUGUAGGAAUUCAUGCUAGGAUAGGGUCAUGUCCAAGGGGGUUGGGGAGGAGGCCUGUGUUGAGGGUGGGGGAGAAGAGAAGAACAAGUAAGGGAGAGGGGGUUAGGCCCAAUGUUCGAGGUGGUAAAGGUAGGGUUGCUAGAGUUGAUAGGCUGUGGGUUGGGUCUUGGAAUAUAGGUACUCUAUAGGGUAAGUCUAUAGAUCUAGUGAAGAUUAUUAGAAAGAGGAGGAUCAAUAUUGUGUGUGUGCAGGAGACUAAGUGGGUAGGGUCUAAGGCUAGGGAUGUAGAUGGUUACAAGCUGUGGUACUCUGGUAGUGAGAGGCAGAGAAUAGAGUUGGAAUCUUAGUAGAUAAAGAUCUUAGAGGGCAGGUAGUGGAGGUUAAGAGGAUCAACGAUAGGUUGAUAACUGUUAAGUUAAUCAUUGGGGGGCCUACUUUGAUCAUGUGUAGUGUUUAUGCACUACAAAUGGGCUUGGAUUGGGAGGAGAAGAUGCAGUUUUGGGAGGCAUUGGAUGAGGUGGUGAGAGGAGUGCCCAGUUCUGAGAAGAUUAUUGUAGCAGGAGAUUUCAAUGGGUAUAUUAGGGCGUUACCGGGAGGCUUUGGCGAUGUGCAUGGAGGUUUUGGUUUUAGGGAGAGAAAUGAGGAGGGAACUGCUCUGUUGGAUUUGCGAGGUCCUUUGGGUUGGUAGUGGUGAAUUUGAGCUUCUCAAAGAAGGACGAGCACCUAAUCACCUUUCGAAGCGCUAUAGCCAAGAUACAAAUUGACUUUUUGUUGCUUAGAAAAGGGGAUAGGGUGUUGUGUAAGGAAUGUAAAGUCAUCCCGAGUGAGAAUCUUUCACCCCAGCAUAGGCUCUUGGUGAUGGACUUAGGUAUUAAGAAAGAUAAGAAGAGAAGGGGUGAGGAGGGUAGACCUAGAAUUAAGUAGGGCGUCCUUACGUCGACAAAUGUGAGGGAGAUAGGGGAGAAGGUAGCGGGAAUAGGGGUGUGGGAGUGUAGGGGGAACGUGGAUGGUACGUAGGAUAGGGCAGCUAGGUGCAUUAGGGAGACUGCUAGUGAGGUGUUGGGUAUUUCUAGGGGUUGUGCCGGCCAUCGUUGGGGGUAUUAGUGGUGGAAUGAAGAAGUUAGAAAGAAAGUAGAGACUAAGAAGAGGACGUAUAAUAAGUUGGGUAAGAGUAGGGAUGAAGAUGAGAAGCGGGAUAAUAGGGAGGAGUACAAGAUAGCUAGGAAGGAGGCUAAGUUAGCAGUCACAGCGGCUAAGAUGGCAGUGUUCGAGAGCUUGUAUACGGGGUUAGAGGAGAAAAGAGGGGAAAAGUUAUUUUGGCUUGCUAAGGCUAGGUAGAGGAAGGGUCGUGACCUCGACUAGGUGAAAUACAUUAAAGGAAAGGAUGGUAGAGUAUUGGUAGAGGAUGGUCACAUUAAAAAGAGAUGGCAGUCGUACUUUGAUAGGUUAUUGAAUGAAGAAGGGGAUAGAGUUAUUAUUUUAGGAGAGCUAGAGCACGUAGAGGAGUGUCGUGAUUUUAGUUAUUGUAGACGUUUUAAGGGAGAAGAGGCCAGAGAGGCUAUUCAUAGGAUGAGUAGGAGUAGGGCGACGGGGCCUGAUGAGAUCCCUGUGGAUUUUUGGAAGUUCUCUGGAGAGGCUGGCUUAAGGUGGUUGACUGAAUUAUUUAACGACAUUUUCAAGUUGGCGAAAAUGCCCAAGGCUUGGAUAUGGAGUACUAUGAUCCUUCUUUAUAAGAAUAAGGGUGCCAUUCAGAGUUACAAUAACUAUAGAGGUAUUAAGUUACUAAGCCACACUAUGAAGAUUUGGGAGAGAGUGGUCGAGUUGAGGUUGAGGAGGUUGUGGCUAUCUCGGAAAAUUAGUUUGGAUUUAUGCCUGGGUGCUCGACGACGGAGGCAAUUCAUCUGGUGCGGAGACUGAUGGAAUAGUAUAGGAAAAGGAAAAGAGAUCAACAUAUGGUAUUUAUCGACUUGGAGAAGGCAUACGACAAAGUCCCUAGAGAGGUGCUUUGGAGAUGUUUGGAGGUGAGUGGGGUACCGGUGGCGUAUAUUAGAGAAAUCAAGGACAUGUAUAAUGGAGCUAAGACUCAGGUGAGGACGGCGGAAGGAGACUCAGAGUAUUUCCCUGUCUUGAUGGGGUUGUAUCAGGGUUCCACUCUUAGCCCAUUUUUGUUUUCUUUGGAGAUGGAUGUGUUGACGCGGCGUAUUCAAGGAGAGGUGCCUUGGUGUAUGUUUUUUGCAGAUGAUGUAGUUUUGAUUAAUGAUAUGUGGGGGGGGGGGGGAAUGAUAAAUUAGGGGUGUGGAGACAGACCCUUGAGUCUAAAGGGUUCAGGUUGAGCAGGAGCAAGAUAGAAUAUUUGGAAUGCAAGUUUAAUGACGUGAAGGAGGAAGAUGAGGUGGUAGUAAGGUUGAAUUCCCAGACGGAAUGUAAAAGGGAUAGUUUUAAGUAUUUGGGGUCCAUGAUUCAGGGGAAUGGUGAGAUUGACGAGGUUGUCUCCCAUCGUAUUAGAGUGGAAUGGAUGAAGUGGAAGCUCACCUCGGGGGUGUCGUGUGAUAGGAAGGUGCCGCCCAAGCUUAAAGGCAAAUUCUACAGGGUGGCAGUCCGGCCGGCCAUGUUGUACGGAGCGAAAUGUUGGCUAGUCAAGAACUGUCACAUUUAAAAAUUGAAAGUGGAAGAAAUGCGGAUGUUGCAUUGGAUGUGUGGGCUUAAUAGGGGUGAUAGAGUUCGAAAUGAGACUAUUCGGGAAAAGGUUGGAGUGGCUUACGUAGAGGAAAAGAUGCGGGAAGUCCGAUUGAGAUAGUUCGAGCAUGUGAUGAGGAGGGGAACGGAUGCCCUAAUUCGUAGGUAUGAGUAGCUUGGUUUGGAUGAUUUCAGGUGGGGUAGGGGUAGGCUGAAGAAUUACUGAAGAGAGGUGAUCAGGUGGGACAUGGAGUAGUUACAACUUACUGAGAACAUGACCCUAGAUAGGAAGAUUUAGAGGGCGUGAAUUAGGAUAAAAGGCUAGUGCCAUUUUGAGUUGUUGGGGUAGGACAUUACUUGGUAGACGUAUUAUUCUUGCUAAGACUCUUUGUUGUAUACUUUAUUACGAAUGUGUUUACCAUUUUUGUUUAUUAUCCCUUGUGGGUGGCAUAUUUUUGUCUUGACAUCUUGGUCCAUGCUUUAUUAAGUAUUUGUCUAUUAUUCCUUCUCUUUAGCUGAGGGUCUAUCGGAAACAACCUUUCUACUUCUCUUGAAGUAGUGGUAUAGCUAUAUGGGAAUACACUGGGUUUGUUGUUUUUGUAUUCCUAUUUAUUCUCUAUCAGCAGUGGUUCCACCUAAAAGUGUUUUCAAGAAGCUGCAAAGAAUAGUUGUAAGUUUUUUCUGGCAAACUAAGGAAACAGGGAGAAACAAACAAACAUUGGGCCACUUAGAAUAAUUUAGCUUUACCCCAAAAAGGAUGGUUGGGUUUUAGAUCUAUUUCUGAAGUAGCUAAGGCAAUGCAUGCUAAACUUUUGUGGAGAUUGAACUUAGAAUAAUUUGUGGGUAGAUUAUAUAUGGAAAAAAUAUUAUAAAAAGCAAUUAGCAACAGUGGUGUAAUGGAGAGGGGGUCACAAGUAUGGAAAUCAGUGCUAGAAAUUAGAGAGAAAAUGAAGGAAUUUAUAUGGUGGGAGCCUAUAGGUGGAACUUCUAUAGUGUGGUUUGAUAAUUGGACUAAUACUGGUCCUUUAUUCGAACAACACUCUAAAGUUCUUACUUGUCAUCCUCUAUCUGAUAUUGUGAACUUUCUUACUGAAGAGGGGUGAAAUUAUGAUAUUAUGAGGGAUGAAAUACCAACUCAUGUUGUUGAGCAUGUGAGAAACUAUAUAAACAGUGUAAGCUAUGAAGAUAAGAGGGAUAAACUAUGGUGGACUUGAGAUUCUAAUGGAAAGUUUCCCACAAAGAGUGCUUGGGAAUCUAUAAGAACAAAAGAAGUAGAGGAUGAAGAUCUUAACACCUUAUGGAGUAGAGGGAUACCAUUUAAAUUCAGCUUCUUGGCAUGGAGAAUAUGGAAGGGUUUGAUCCCAGCUGCUGCUUUAUUACAUAGCUGAAAUACUGAGAUCUCUGAAGAAUGUUUUGUGAAAAUCUCAGAAGAGAAGUAAUCUCACAUCUAUUUCUUAAAGGAGAAGUUGCUAAGAAAGUUUAGCAGUAUUUCUAUGUAGGUGCCGAAAUUAUGAGCAAAGUCUAAACUUGAGGCAAAGUAUCAGAAUAUGGAGAAAAAAAGAAGGGAACUAUAACGUAACAAUUGUCUAUAAAGUGGUACCAAUUGUCAUUCUAUGGUUUUUGUGGAAAAGAAUAAAUACUAUUAGGCAUGGAGGAUCUUAUUCUAUUAGUAAGGUUUUCUUGGAGAUUACUGAUUCUAUUGUGAAAUUUAUAAAAGUGAGGUUUAAUAUUGAUAUUAACGGUAGAGAUUAGGUUAGAAUUUUGGAUGAAUUACAAACAUCCAGAGGUGCUACUUCUUUUAAGAUGAUCAAUUGGAAACCUCAUGAAGCUGGGUGGCUUAAAUGUAACACUGAUGGUGUUUCAAAAGAAAAUCCAGGUCCUAGCUCUAUUGCUUUCUGUAUAAGGGAUCAACACGGUAAUAUUUUUGUAGCUCAGGGCAACAGAAUUAGAGAUACUACUAGUCUGGAGGUAGAAGCAAUGGCUAUUAGGGCAUGUCUAAUUUAUUGUAGAAGGAAAUAUAUUUUUCAACUUAUACUAAAAAGUGAUUCAUGGAUUAUGGUUAAGAUACUGAAUGCACAAUGGGAGAAACCUUGGAGUUUGGUUAUACUGGUUAAGUCCAUCACGACAUUGAUGGAAAGUAUAUCAGUUAGGGUGAUACAUUCCCAUAGGGAAGGUAACACUCUAGCAGACUUUCUUGCUAACUAGGUGUUUACUUGUGCAGGUGAAUUUCAUUAUAAUAAUGUAAAGCAAUUACCAAAAAAAGGCAAAGCUAUAUACAAAUUAGACAAAGCAGGAACUCCAAAUAUAUGAAGAUUAGUGCAGGUAGGUAGACUACUAAACAGUAACAAUUGCUACAAUAGGUAGUACCAAUUCAAUGCAGGAACAGGGAACAAUCUUUUUUAAAUAGAUAUAGAAGGGUAUAGGAAUAGUAAAAGAGAAAGAUUCAAGAAGCACCUGAUAUUAUCAAACUCUAGUAUACUGUUGGGAAGGUGUUAACAUGUAGCUUUAGAUUAAACCUAGACAUAUAACAAUCAUCAGGAGGUAAUUAGAUUAUGAAUUCUAUAUCAACAAUUUACCACAGAGAUGAUAAACCGACUGUUAGAAAAGAAUUCUAUUAAACAUCUAACCCACAUCCAGUGAGAUUCAAGGAUGUCAAGGGUUAUGGUGUUCAAACAGUUGGAAUAUCAAUCUAAAGUGGUAUUUUUAGAUGUAUUUAGUAAUAAUCAUCACAAAGCAAUUGAUCUAGAUUUUUUUUCACUAAUCGAUAGUAAGAUGGUGGUAUUAGUUUCUAUGAAAAUCAACCGAUUAACUACUGAUUAACGGAAGGGAAGUCCAAGAACUUAGCUUUUAUGAACCAUGAAGAUGAUGAUUGUAAGUAGGUGAUCAACGGCAGCUGCAUGGUAUCUCAACGGAGGGCCGACGAAUGGUUGAUGGAAAUCCGAUAAAGGCAGAGGAAGAGCAAGAGAUGGAGCUGAGGAAAAUGUUUCCUAAUUUGACCUAUAGAUUUUUUUUUUGAUUUUUUUUAUGGAACUGAACCCGAGUCGACCAUUUGGUCCUGAUUUGGGUUAUAUGAAUCAAUUUUAAUGUUUUUUUUUAAUAAAAUGGGCAUUCAGGUUGAUUUGAUUUAAAAAAAAGGCGUGGCAUUUGAGGUUCUCUAUAAUAAGAUAGUGCUAAUUGUCUUAAGUGCAGAUCUCCUUACUUCUUAUUGUGAUGUUGUCUGAAGAGAUAUACGAGUUACAUUUCUUCUCUGAGAUUUGGUCCCAAAACACAUGUAAACAUCAAAAACUUAACAAUGCAGUACAUAAAAUGAGUA